rnacentral:rRNA from 1 species
CAGCAGCCGCGGGAAUACGGAGGGCGCGAGCGUUACCCGGAUUUACUGGGCGUAAAGGGCGUGUAGGCGGCCUGGGGCGUCCCAUGUGAAAGGCCACGGCUCAACCGUGGAGGAGCGUGGGAUACGCUCAGGCUAGAGGGUGGGAGAGGGUGGUGGAAUUCCCGGAGUAGCGGCGAAAUGCGCAGAUACCGGGAGGAACGCCGAUGGCGAAGGCAGCCACCUGGUCCACUUCUGACGCUGAGGCGCGAAAGCGUGGGGAGCAAACCGGAUUAGAUACCCCCGUAGUCCCUGUCUCUUAUAC